rnacentral:rRNA from 1 species
AUUGAACGCUGGCGGCAUGCCUUACACAUGCAAGUCGAACGGUAGCGGGCCUUCGGGUGCCGACGAGUGGCGAACGGGUGAGUAAUGUAUCGGAACGUACCUUUCAGUGGGGGAUAACGUAGCGAAAGUUACGCUAAUACCGCAUAUUCUGUGCGCAGGAAAGCAGGGGACCUUCGGGCCUUGCGCUGCUUGAGCGGCCGAUAUCAGAUUAGCUAGUUGGUGAGGUAAAGGCUCACCAAGGCAACGAUCUGUAGCGGGUCUGAGAGGAUGAUCCGCCACACUGGAACUGAGACACGGUCCAGACUCCUACGGGAGGCAGCAGUGGGGAAUUUUGGACAAUGGGGGCAACCCUGAUCCAGCCAUGCCGCGUGAGUGAAGAAGGCCUUCGGGUUGUAAAGCUCUUUCGGCCGGGAAGAAAUCGUAUCAGCUAAUACCUGGUGCGGAUGACGGUACCGGCAUAAGAAGCACCGGCUAACUACGUGCCAGCAGCCGCCGUAAUAC